GCCUCAUAGAAUAAGUUAGGGAGUAUUUCCUCCUCUUCAGUUUUUUAAAGUUUGAGAAGGAUUAGUGUUAAUUCAUUAAAUGUUUGGUAGAUUUCACCAUGCAGCCAUCUGGCCCAGGACUUUUCUUUGUUGGGAGGUUUUUGAUUACUAAUUCAAUCUCUUUACUUUUUAUAGGUCUGUUGAAAUAUUCUAUUUCUUCUUGAGUCAGUUUAGGUAAUUCAUGUGUUUGAAGGAAUUUCUGCUUGGUUAUCUAAUUUAUUUACACACAAUUGUUCAUUAUAUUGUCAUAAUUCUUUUUUUUUUUUAAUCUCUGUAAGGUCAGUAGUAGUAUCUCCAUUUUCAUAUUAGUUCUUUGGGUCUUCUCUUUUUCUCUGUCAGUUUAGGUAAAGCUUUGUUAAUUUUGUUGAUCUUUUCAAAGAGUCAACUUUUGAUUUCAUUGAUUUUCUCUGUUGUUUUUCUAUUUGGCUUAUCUCCACUCUACUUUUUAUUUCCUUUCUUCUUUUGGUUUAGUUUGUCUUUUUUGUAGUUCCUAAAGGUGUUAUGUUAGGUUAUUGAUUUCAGAUUUUUUUUUUUUAUGUAGGCAAUUACUGCCAUAAAUUUCUCUCCUAGCACUGCCUUUGCUGUAUACCAUAAAUUUUGGUAUGUGUGUUUUCAUUUUCGCUAGUCUUUAAAUAUUUUCUGACUUAUUUCUGAUUUCUUCUUUGACCCAUUGGUUGUUUUCUUAGUCCAUUCAAGGUGCUAUAACAAAAUACCAGAGACUGAGUAGCUUAUAAGCAACAGAAAUUUAUUUUUCACAGUUCUUGUGGCUGGAAUUCGGAGAUCAGGGCGCCAGUGUUGCCGAGCUCUCUUCCAGAUUGCAGACUUAGCAUAUCCUCACAUGGCAGAAGGAGCUAUAUAGAGACCUAUGGGAACUCUUUAUAAGAGUACUAAUCCCAUUCCUGAGGGCUCCAUCCUCAUGACCUAAGCAUCUCCCAAAGGCCCUACCUCCUAAUACCAUCACAUUGGGCAGUAGGAUUUCAACAUAUGAAUUUUGGGAGGACACAUUCAGACCACAGCAGUUGUUUGAGAGUGCAUAGUUUAAUUUCUGCACAUUUGUGAAUUUUCCAGUUUUCCUUAAUUUCUAACUUGAUCCUGUUAUGUUCAAGUUACCUAGUAUGAUAUCCAUCUUUUUAAAUCUAUUGAUACUUGUUUUGUGGUCUAAUAUAAAAGCUACCCUAGAGAAUGUUCCAUGUGCACUUGAGAAGAAUGUGUAUUCUGCGGUUUUGGGGUGGAGUGUUAAUUGUCCGUUAGAUAUACUUGGUUUAUUAAGCUGUUCAAGUUCUCUAUUUCUUUACUUAUCUUCUGUGUGGUUGAUCUAUCCAUUAUUAAAGGUGGGGUACUGAAGUUUCUCACUACUAACGUAGAACUGUCUAUUUCCUCCUUCAAUUCUGUCAAUUUUUGCUUCAUAUAUUUUGAUGGGUGUUAUUACGUGUAAAUAUUUAUUGUUAUAUCUUCUUGCUGUGUUAAACAUUUUAUUAAUAUAUAAUGACCUUAUUUGUCACUUGUAAUCUUUUUGGAUUUAAAGUCUAUUUUGUCUGAUAUUAGCAGAGACAGCUCAGCUCUCUUUUGGUUACUAUUUGCAUGAAAUAGCUUUCUCCACUCUUCCACUUUCAACCUAUUUGUGUCUUUGGACAUAAAGUGAGUCACUUGUAGACAUCAUAUAGUUGGAUCACGGUUUUUUUUAAUCCAUUCUGCCAAUCUCUAUCUUUUGAUUGGAGAGUUUAAUCCAUUUACAUGUAAAGUAAUUACUGGAAAGGAGGCACUUACUUCAGCCAUUUUGCUCUUUGUUUUCUAUUAUGUCUUAUUACUUUUUUAUCCCUCAUUUCCUCCAUUAUUCCCUGAAGAUUAGGGGUGCCACCUAAAGUGAACUUUGCAAGGUGGGCAGCAGCCUCUCCAGCAGGUGAGUUUGGUAAUAAAGAGAAUAUGGGGGACAUUCUAGGCUGAAGUAAUAGCACAGCCAAAGAGAAUAUUUUUUGUUCAAGGAGGCAUGAGAGGACCUGUGUGAUUGCCAAGAAAAACCUUGAUCUUCUGAGACAGAAUAUUGCCAGGAAGGCAAUUUGUAUGUAUGGUCUUUUACUGGAUGUUCAAAUCCAACCUAUGUUCCUGAAAUGUGUGACUCUGGAAGACUUGCUAGAGCCGCCUGAGUCUCAGGUCACUGACGAUGCCAUAAAGAUGAUUAUGGCACUUACAUUAUAGUCUGCGGGAGGAUGAAUAAAAGAAAAACACACCAAGCAACUUACAUGUGCCAAGCACUCCAUUGUUGCUUACGAAUAUUUUCUCUUUAAUUCUCACAACCACCUGGUAAAGUGGGAAUUAUUU
ensembl:lncRNA